rnacentral:SRP_RNA from 2 species
CGGUGGGCUAGACGGGGCCUAGGGCAGGCCCUUAAGGAGCGAAAUGCUCCGACCGAAGCCCUCACGGGUCGAAGCCAUGGAGCGGUGGAGUUCAGUUAUGGGCCUCAAGCUGUAACGAUGAGCUCUUGUCCCAUAGGACCUAUGGAUGCGUGAACCGGGCCAGGUCCGGAAGGAAGCAACCCUAAGCGCACUCCAUGGGUGCUUAUGGGGGUGCAGGGGGGAGCCAAGGCUUGAACAAGCUCAUAGCUGAAUUUCACCCAUCCAUGGUGCCCACCG